CAUCAGUAGGGAAGUCGGAGAUGCUCUGUGGCGAGAAAAGCUGUGUGUAUUGAUUAGGCGCCCGUACCGCAAACCGACACAGGUAGAUGAGGAGAGAAUCCUAAGGCCAACGGGAGAAGGGUUGUUAAGGAACUCGGCAAAUUGACCCCGUAACUUCGGGAUAAGGGGAGCCUCCUACGGGAGGCCGCAGUGAAUAGGCCCAAGCAACUGUUUACCAAAAACACAGGUCUCUGCUAAAUCGAAAGAUGACGUAUAGGGGCUGACGCCUGCCCGGUGCCGGAAGGUUAAGAGGAGAGCUUAGCGCAAGCGAAGGUUCGAAUUGAAGCCCCGGUAAACGGCGGCCGUAACAAUAACGGUCCUAAGGUAGCGAAAUUCCUUGUCAGGUAAGUUCUGACCCGCACGAAUGGCGUAAUGAUUUGGGCACUGUCUCAACAGCCCGCCCGGCGAAAUUGUAGUACUGGUGAAGAUGCCAGUUACCCGCAACUAGACGGAAAGACCCCAUGGAGCUUUACUGUAGCCUAAUACUGAAGAUCGGUAAUGCAUGUACAGGAUAGGUGGGAGCCAGCGAAACCCGGGCGUCAGCUCGGAUGGAGGCAACCUUGGAAUACCACCCUUGUAUUGCUGGUUUUCUAACCUGCGGCCAUGAAUCUGGUCGGGGGACACUGUUAGGUGGGCAGUUUGACUGGGGCGGUCGCCUCCAAAAGCGUAACGGAGGCGCUCAAAGGUUGGCUCAGCACGGACGGAAAUCGUGCAUAGAGUGCAAACGCAUAAGCCAACUUGACUGCGAGACCGACGGGUCGAGCAGGUACGAAAGUAGGAGUUAGUGAUCCGGUGGUAUGUGAGUGGAAAUGCCAUCGCUCAACGGAUAAAAGCUACCCUGGGGAUAACAGGCUGAUCUCCCCCAAGCGUCCACAGCGACGGGGAGGUUUGGCACCUCGAUGUCGGCUCGUCACAUCCUGGGGCUGUAUUCGGUCCCAAGGGUUCGGCUGUUCGCCGAUUAAAGUGGCACGCGAGCUGGGUUCAGAACGUCGUGAGACAGUUCGGUCCCUAUCUGUUGCGGGCGCAGGAGAUUUGAAGGGAGCUGUCCUUAGUACGAGAGGACCGGGAUGGACAGACCUCUGGUGCACCAGUUGUCGUGCCAACGGCACAGCUGGGUAGCUACGUCUGGACGAGAUAAACGCUGAAAGCAUCUAAGUGUGAAACUCCCCCUAAGAUAAGAUCUCCCAUCCAUUAGGAGUAAGGGACGACAGAGACUAUGUCGUUGAUAGGUCGGAAGUGUAAGUGCAGUAAUGCAUUGAGCUGACCGAUACUAAUAACCCGAGGGCUUGACCAA
rnacentral:rRNA from 1 species